GCUUUCCCUGUUUGAUCAACUGCUACCUAGCAACAUAGCCUUGCUUGUUAGCAACAGCACUUUUUACCUGCCAGGUCAAGUAAUGCUCUGCAGAGGAUCAGCUGAGGCUCUCACUGACUGCAGUGGAUGUGUUUAACCAACAGGAGCAGCUUGCGCUGAAACCAAGCGGCAAACUCCAGUCUACAAAUAUGAGUCCAAUGCGG